AAAGAAGAGAGGAUGCCACCGCGGACUGAGUACCAGGUUCCAGGCUUUGGGGUGAAGCCCAGGCAGCAGCUACAUGCAGAGGAGUGAGUGGGCGAGCACUGUAUCUUCUCACGUACCGUAUACAUACAGCAUAUAGUCCGAAUGAGCCUUUCCCACUAUGUUGGAAGCCUCACAGCGGGACAUUACACCACAAUAGUUUUAGUGAUAUGAAAAUUAUAAGCAUGAUGCUCCUAAUGAAGCUAUAUAAUGAAGUAGAGGAAAUGAAUUAACAAGAAAAACCUACACUCUGUAAUGUAAAUUGAGCCAUGCUCGAAGGGCAAGAAGAGGUUGGGACAAGAUGGUCUCUUAUAAGCAAGUUUAUAACUUGUUCUACUUGGACAAUUUAAAUACACAAUAAAAAGGGUAGCAGCUGAAAAAUGGCUUCCAAAGGCAAAUUCAAGCCCCAAGAACCCAUGCAUAUGGCCUAGUUUGGAAAAGACACUUUGCACGUGCAGUCUUGAAGAUCUUAAGAUGAGAAAACUCUGGAUCAUUUGGGUGGGCUCUAAACUCAGCGACACUGUGUCUUAUGUGACACCCAAGCCUCCUGAAUGAUGGCUGGCAACAGGCUCUGAAGCGUCACCCAAGACCGUCAGAAAAUACAGAUACUCAUAUUACAAUUCAUAACAGUAGCAAAAACUACAGUUAUAAAGUAGCAAUGAAAAUAAUUUUAGGGUUGGUGGGUCACCACAACAUGAGGAACAUAAUGGGUCAUAGCACUAGGAAGGGUGAGAAGCACUGCCCUAACUCCUUGGGGAAAUUCGCAGAGCACUUGCCAUCUAAGAAGCAGAAAGGACUCUCUAAGGUCUUGGAGGGAAGGUGGCCCAAAUAAGCCCCCAAUUUGCUCCUUUGGUAUUUAGAAUUGUGAGUGGAUCUCUGUGGUUUUGGGACAGGUCUGUGACACUGCCAAUUGACAUGGCAGCCCUAAGGCACUAACAUAAGAACUCCCACAGUUGGCAAUGCCUUUCCCCAAUCAGAUCCCUAAUCACUGCUCACCCACCCAAAUCCUCACACCACCACCCACUAGACCCAUUCCACUGUAUCCUCGGACCGCCACAGGCCAGCCUACAGGAGGAAUCUUCUGGAGAAAAGUGAGAGCAGAGGGUCAUGUGGUCACAGUCUUGGAUGGAGCACGGCUUUGGACGGAAAGAUCCCUCCACCCUCUGCCUCUGAAGCAGAAGGGCCUGGAGGAGAAGACAAGGAGACCCUCUUCUCUGGUUUACAGGGGAUGGCUAGGGACAGUCUCGCUACCGUGCAGAAUUACGGAUCGACUUUAACUUUCAACACCUUUUUCUAACUAAAGCUACAUAGAACAUAAACCUUAGAACAAAAUGUUAGUAAGAAAUGGGAAUAAAAUUGUAAACAUCCGGUUUACGGUGGAUUAGAGAGGGAGGGGGAAUCACUGAAGACUUUGUUGGCCCAGGAAUGAUGACAGUGAACACGGAAAGAAGCCGAUUUUAAGCCACAUUAAAGCAGACUGGCACUGCUUUAGCUUCAUGUUUGAGUUGGCCGCAGUAUCUUCACGUUCUCAUUGGCACUUGGUAUUACAGUAGCCCUUCAGCAGGAUGAUCUUUUGAUCACUCUUCUACCAGAACAACAGAGGAACAACCCUCGUACACCAUACAGAUUGCAUACGGACUUCAAGGGAAGGAGCUUCCAAGCACAGGCCUCAAAACAAGGUGCUCGGCUACUCACACUGCACUUCUAGAUAGCGCUGGGUCUGCAGGUUUCCAGUGACCGCAGGGUGCUCCACCUGGCAGAUCACCGGGACCCCGUCGUCCUCCUUGUGCACCUUCAGCAUCAGCUGACUGGUCACAGUGUACAUGUCCGACCACUCCUCCACCUCUGAUUUGCCUGCGGGAGACAAAGCAGAUCAUCAUCCUUUCCCUUUCUCCCCACCCCUAACAGUGUUACCUUAGGUAACAAGAUGGCAACGUCAUAGGUCAGGGCGAUCUGGGACCCGAGACCUCAUACAAUGGUUAUUUCCCUUAGUUUCCUUCUUUCAUCCUUGUGUAACAGUGGUCCAGAUAUAUUCCAAAGCUAGGCAAUACACACUAGUUUAAUUC